rnacentral:misc_RNA from 1 species
AACCUUAUGGACCUGCGGGCGUAUACCUGCGGAAGGAUCAUUACCGAGUUUUCAACUCCCUAACCCUUCUGUGAACCUACCUAUCGUUGCUUCGGCGGACUCGCCCCAGCCCGGACGCGGACUGGACCAGCGGCCCGCCGGGGACCUCAAACUCUUGUAUUCCAGCAUCUUCUGAAUACGCCGCAAGGCAAAACAAAUGAAUCAAAACUUUUAACAACGGAUCUCAGAUCGGAAGAGCAC